rnacentral:rRNA from 1 species
GGGUUGUGAGGUUAAGCGACUAAGCGUACACGGUGGAUGCCCUGGCAGUCAGAGGCGAUGAAGGACGUGCUAAUCUGCGAUAAGCGUCGGUAAGGUGAUAUGAACCGUUAUAACCGGCGAUUUCCGAAUGGGGAAACCCAGUGUGAUUCGUCACACUAUCAUUAACUGAAUCCAUAGGUUAAUGAGGCGAACCGGGGGAACUGAAACAUCUAAGUACCCCGAGGAAAAGAAAUCAACCGAGAUUCCCCCAGUAGCGGCGAGCGAACGGGGAGCAGCCCAGAGCCUGAAUCAGUGUGUGUGUUAGUGGAAGCGUCUGGAAAGGCGUGCGAUACAGGGUGACAGCCCCGUACACAAAAAUGCACAUGCUGUGAGCUCGAUGAGUAGGGCGGGACACGUGAUAUCCUGUCUGAAUAUGGGGGGACCAUCCUCCAAGGCUAAAUACUCCUGACUGACCGAUAGUGAACCAGUACCGUGAGGGAAAGGCGAAAAGAACCCCGGCGAGGGGAGUGAAAAAGAACCUGAAACCGUGUACGUACAAGCAGUGGGAGCACGCUUAGGCGUGUGACUGCGUACCUUUUGUAUAAUGGGUCAGCGACUUAUAUUCUGUAGCAAGGUUAACCGAAUAGGGGAGCCGAAGGGAAACCGAGUCUUAACUGGGCGUUAAGUUGCAGGGUAUAGACCCGAAACCCGGUGAUCUAGCCAUGGGCAGGUUGAAGGUUGGGUAACACUAACUGGAGGACCGAACCGACUAAUGUUGAAAAAUUAGCGGAUGACUUGUGGCUGGGGGUGAAAGGCCAAUCAAACCGGGAGAUAGCUGGUUCUCCCCGAAAGCUAUUUAGGUAGCGCCUCGUGAAUUCAUCUCCGGGGGUAGAGCACUGUUUCGGCAA